UAUAGCUCAGUUGGUAGAGCCCCGGAUUGUGAUUCCGGUUGUCGUGGGUUCGAGCCCCAUUA
rnacentral:tRNA from 1 species